CCCUCGUGGGUCGCAGCCAAUAGAACGGCUCUGCUGGAAUGACGUCAUUGCCAAAUUCUGCUUGGCCCCUCUCCUCGCACCGCACAGUCCUAAUCGUGGCCUGCAGGGGGCGCUGUUGGACCGCCAAAGAUGUAGGGCCUGCAGUUCUCUGUCGUGGUCGGCAAGGGGCGCUGUGGGAUCUCUGGCGGUCACCGUGCAGGGAGAGGGGUCUGGGGGUUGGUCUCGGGUCGCACGGGGAGCCGACAAGGGGGGGACGGACCCUCCCCUCAGCAGUUCACCCCUCAACAGGACUCACUGUUCCCAGGUGACGACGUUCCAAGGCUUUGCCCUCUCCUCCCAGCAAACACAGACCUCUCCAAUGAAGAGAAGGAAAAAAAACGAACAGUAGGUCCCGGCAGGAGUCACGAGGCAGUGGCGGUGCAGGGACGGUGGUCAGGCCUUCUGUUUGCCACUGGAGUCUGGGCUCUCAGUAGCUCUUCCUCCAGAGAUCCCUGGAUACCGUCCCUGACUCCGUCCCGGCGACAGAACUCAGCCCCCGGCGACAGAACCCAGCCGUCUGCCCCCUCUCCCCUCCGAACACACACCCACCAAAAAAAAAAAGACCAGCAGUUCCUCUCUCCCCAGUCUCUCUAAAUCACCCAUCAGUGAGGCCAGGGUACAUCUUUUGUAAAUCUAAUGACCUGGCCAGCUCAGCCAGGUACAUCUUUUGUAAAACUAAUGACCUCCCUUCCCCCCUUUUUCACUCAAACUCCAUUUUUCCUACAGUGAGGGGGGGGGGCAGGGGAAAGACAAAUUUUCCUGAAGUCCUAACCUAUAACACUGACCAAACCAGGAGCCUGUUUUUUUAGCAACAGUUUUCUCUCUGUACUCUGGUGCAACAAGACUUUGGAGGUGGUCAA